rnacentral:SRP_RNA from 1 species
UUCCAGGCCCCGGAGGGCGUGAGCCCUCUAACUCCGUCAGGGCCCCGCAGGCAGCAGCGGCAUGAGGUGUCUGACGUCGCUUCGGUCGGCCUGGGACAC